rnacentral:rRNA from 1 species
CUACGGGCUGCUCCAGUAGGGAAUCUUAGACAAUGGGGGAAACCCUGAUCUAGCCAUGCCGCGUGAGUGAUGAGGGCCUUAGGGUUGUAAAGCUCUUUCGCUGUGGAAGAUAAUGACGGUACCCAGUAAAGAAACCCCGGCUAACUCCGUGCCAGCAGCCGCGGUAAUACGGAGGGGGUUAGCGUUGUUCGGAAUUACUGGGCGUAAAGCGCGCGUAGGCGGGCUAUUAAGUCAGGGGUGAAAUCCCGGGGCUCAACCCCGGAACUGCCUUUGAUACUGGUAGUCUUGAGUUCGAGAGAGGUGAGUGGAAUUCCGAGUGUAGAGGUGAAAUUCGUAGAUAUUCGGAGGAACAUCAGUGGCGAAGGCGACUCACUGGCUCGAUACUGACGCUGAGGUGCGAAAGUGUGGGGAGCAAACAGGAUUAGAUACCCUCGUAGUC